GUCUAUGACCAUGCCACCCUGAACACGCCGGAUAUUGUCCGAUCGCGGAAGCUAAGCAGGGUCGGGCCUGGUUAGUACUUGGAUGGUAGACCACCUAAAAAUCAGGUGCUGUAGGCA
rnacentral:rRNA from 1 species